UACAUUUGGCUAACCAGAAUUGUCUCUGCUAAUGUGAAGAAACGAUACAUUUGGCUCACGGAAGUAUCAGCUAACGUGAAGAACCGAUACAUUUGGCGAAAGUAUCAGCUAGAAUUCUAACGUGAAGAACCGAUGGCAGCGACUGGAAUCCAUUAAUUUCCACGGAAUUAUUUUUGGAAUCUGAUCCCUUAUCAUUCCUGUUCAUUCUUACUCGUCGCUCGACUUAUCGUGACUAAAUUCAAGACAGCUGCAAACGCUAAACUUCUUGAAGAUACUGUCUGUAUAAAUCGUCUUAUUACCACACUGAAAACAACAUAUUUCUUAUCUCCUGAUUCACCUUGGGCCAACUCUUAGGUGUGCUCUCAGUCUCUGCCAAGGACAUUGUGGGUAGCCUACAUCUAGAAGACUACGUAGAGAGACGUAGACUCUGGCACUGAGAACAGACACCAGCUGAAGGGCAGGGACAGAGGCAUAGAGGCACAGCCGCACUAUCUACCCGCCGGAUUGUGUCUUGGGACCGUCAGAAUCUGGGCGCCUCGGCAUGGCAGGUCACUUCCUGUGGGACCAGUGGGAUGGGCUGGCGGAGAUGAUGCCGGCUUAAUCUGCAACCGUACGAAAAAAAGAUUCUCCCCAGACCAGACUCACACAUAAACAGUCAUACACAAAUAUACUGAUACAAACUCAGACACACACACACACAAAGACACACAAAUAAACACACACAAUACUCAGAAAGACUGUGUGGUGGUGGUUUGGUUGAAAGCACCUACACCCCCUCUGCAUCCUGUGGUUUACUAUGACACCACAGGAUAUCAGGAGCACGGGACCGUGUAUUCUAUACAUAUAGGAAAAGUGUUGCAUUUCUUUCUUUGGAAAAAUGUAAAGAUACAAAGGGAACUGACUAAACAUUGACAAAAAGUUCCCCUUGUAUCUUUACAUUUUUACAUUUUACCACUUAAUGGUCAGUAAAGCAUAAAUAAAAGAGGGAACUUUAUUAAAAAAAAAGCUUUGUGAUAUGAAUCAACUCUCAGACCUUUACAGA